rnacentral:rRNA from 1 species
UGGGGAAUAUUGCACAAUGGGCGCAAGCCUGAUGCAGCCAUGCCGCGUGUGCGAAGAAGGCCUUCGGGUUGUAAAGCACUUUCAGCGAGGAGGAAGGGUGGUGUGUUAAUAGCACAUUGCAUUGACGUUACUCGCAGAAGAAGCACCGGCUAACUCCGUGCCAGCAGCCGCGGUAAUACGGAGGGUGCAAGCGUUAAUCGGAAUUACUGGGCGUAAAGCGCACGCAGGCGGUUUGUUAAGUCAGAUGUGAAAUCCCCGCGCUUAACGUGGGAACUGCAUUUGAAACUGGCAAGCUAGAGUCUUGUAGAGGGGGGUAGAAUUCCAGGUGUAGCGGUGAAAUGCGUAGAGAUCUGGAGGAAUACCGGUGGCGAAGGCGGCCCCCUGGACAAAGACUGACGCUCAGGUGCGAAAGCGUGGGGAGCAAACA